rnacentral:rRNA from 1 species
CCUACGGGAGGCAGCAGUGGGGAAUUUUGGACAAUGGGCGAAAGCCUGAUCCAGCAAUGCCGCGUGAGUGAAGAAGGCCUUCGGGUUGUAAAGCUCUUUUGUCAGGGAAGAAACGGUGGAAGCUAAUAUCUCCUGCUAAUGACGGUACCUGAAGAAUAAGCACCGGCUAACUACGUGCCAGCAGCCGCGGUAAUACGUAGGGUGCAAGCGUUAAUCGGAAUUACUGGGCGUAAAGCGUGCGCAGGCGGUUUUGUAAGUCUGAUGUGAAAUCCCCGGGCUCAACCUGGGAAUUGCAUUGGAGACUGCAAGGCUAGAAUCUGGCAGAGGGGGGUAGAAUUCCACGUGUAGCAGUGAAAUGCGUAGAUAUGUGGAGGAACACCGAUGGCGAAGGCAGCCCCCUGGGUCAAGAUUGACGCUCAUGCACGAAAGCGUGGGGAGCAAACAGGAUUAGAUACCCUGGUAGUCCACGCCCUAAACGAUGUCUACUAGUUGUCGGGUCUUAAUUGACUUGGUAACGCAGCUAACGCGUGAAGUAGACCGCCUGGGGAGUACGGUUGCAAGAUUAAAACGUCAAAUUGAAUUGACGGCUUGGAGACGNGCGAGGACGACGACGAGGAGGAGG